rnacentral:tRNA from 2 species
CGAGAGGUAGCUCAACAGGCUAGCAGAGCGCCGGUUUCAUACGCCGGAGGUUGUAGGUUCGAUCCCUACCCUCUCGACCA